rnacentral:rRNA from 1 species
UACGUAGGGUGCAAGCGUUGCCCGGAUUUAUUGGGCGUAAAGGGCGCGUAGGCGGCUCUGCACGUUCGUUGUGAAAUCGCCCGGCUCAACUGGGCGGGGUCAGCGGAUACGGCAGAGCUUGAGCAAGCUAGGGGGCAAUGGAAUUCCCGGUGUAGUGGUGGAAUGCGUAGAUAUCAGGAGGAACACCGAUGGCGAAGGCAGGUCUCUGGGCCGCAACUGACGCUGAGGAGCGAAAGCGUGGGGAGCAAACAGG